rnacentral:rRNA from 1 species
AAUAGAUACCCCGGUAGUCCACGCCGUAAACGAUGAAUGUUAGCCGUUGGGGAGUUUACUCUUCGGUGGCGCAGCUAACGCAUUAAACAUUCCGCCUGGGGAGUACGGUCGCAAGAUUAAAACUCAAAGGAAUUGACGGGGGGCCCGCACAAGCGGUGGAGCAUGUGGUUUAAUUCGAAGCAACGCGCAGAACCUUACCAGCCCUUGACAUACCGGUCGCGGACACAGAGAUGUGUCUUUCAGUUCGGCUGGACCGGAUACAGGUGCUGCAUGGCUGUCGUCAGCUCGUGUCGUGAGAUGCUGGGUUAAGUCCCGCAACGAGCGCAACCCUCGCCCUUAGUUGCCAGCAUUUAGUUGGGCACUCUAAGGGGACUGCCGGUGAUAAGCCGAGAGGAAGGUGGGGAUGACGUCAAGUCCUCAUGGCCCUUACGGGCUGGGCUACACACGUGCUACAAUGGUGGUGACAGUGGGCAGCGAGCACGCGAGUGUGAGCUAAUCUCCAAAAGCCAUCUCAGUUCGG